GGAGGUGCAAGCGUUAAUCGGAAUUACUGGGGCGUAAAGCGCACGCAGGCGGUUUGAUAAGUCAGAUGUGAAAGCCCCCGGGGCUCAACCUGGGGAACUGCAUUUGAUACUGUCAGACUAUAGUAUGGUAGAGAGAAGUAGAAUUCCACAUGUAGCGGUGAAAUGCGUAGGGAUGUGGAGGAAUAUCAGUGGCGAAGGCGACUUCUUGGACCAAUACUGACGCUCAGGUGCGAAAGCGUGGGGAGCAAACAGGAUUAGAUACCCUGGUAGUCCACGCCGUAAACGAUGUCUACUAGCCGUUGGGGGACUUGAUCCCUUAGUGGCGCAGCUAACGCCAUAAGUAGACCGCCUGGGGAGUACGGCCGCAAGGCUAA
rnacentral:rRNA from 1 species